rnacentral:lncRNA from 1 species
AGUAGAAGGUGUGAAAGUAAGUUUUGGAUAAGUACAUAAGGUAUUAGAAAUCGAAUAGGAAGCAUACUUGCUACCAAAGGACAGACUGAGAGAGAUAUAAGAACUUAUUAAUAGAGUUGGCCACACUAAGAAUUGACUGUGGAAUCAUUUGCUUUGAAUGAAAUAAAUGAGAUCUUACAUAGAAGAUACACAUCUCAAGCUUGCAUAUAGUAACUGCUUCUUGUCUGUGUAUUCUCCAGCUCCUGAGAAUGUUACCUGCACUAUACCUGAUGGCGUGCCAAUAGAUAUCACAGUGAAGUUGAUGGUCUGCCUUGUACAUCUCAACAUUCUUGAACCACUUAAUCCUCUCUUGACAACACUAGUAGAACAGAAUCCUGAAGAUAUGGGAGACCUAUACCUAGAUGUUGCUGAAGCUUUUCUGGAUGUUGGUGAAUAUAAUUCUGCACU